rnacentral:misc_RNA from 1 species
AUUUGAAUUCGGUAACGCAAAUAUGUCCGGUGCUCGCAAUGGACUUGCAUUUCUGAAACAAAUGAUAAAAUUUAGAACAGAGGCUAAAUCGUUUGAGAAUGUUCUUCAAGGUGUAAGUAGACAUUUGUGAACUCAUCUGCUCUUAUCAUUUGAUUUGUACCGACCGUUCGAAUUAUCUCCGAUUUUAACGCAAUAAUGUCAAAUUACAUUUGAUGAAGUCAACAUAGCUAUACACUUCAAUAAUCUAACUUCAAUCUUAUGCAUACAAUUUGCAUACGUUUUUUUCUCCAAUUUUGAUGACCUUGACCCUUCAUUGAAAUCGACCUUUGACCUGGACUGUGCAUUUCGUACGAGUGGGCAUUAGGCCAAGUUCAAAAGUAAGGCAUCGGACAGGGGGCAGGUAAAGAGAUACAUAGCCAGCUUCCUCUUCGAUGUCAGUGCAUGAUAUAUGUAAAUGAAUAAAUUUAAAUUUAAUUAAUGUUUGAUUAAUAUUUUUGAUUUAAUAUGAUACAUGUAUUUACAAGGUUCGUGUUGUUGGUGGAGGAGAUGGCAAAUGUACUUGUGAAAUGACAGUGAUGGAGGAACACCAAAACGCGGGAGGGACUCUCCACGGGGGUGUGACGGCCACCCUGGUGGACGCUAUAUCUACUUGGGCCUUAAUGACCACCCCACGGGAGGUCCCGGGGGUCAGUGUCGACCUCAGUGUGUCAUUUAUGAAACCCGUGAGAGUAGGAGAAGACAUUGUAAUUGACGCAGACACUCUGAAGGUUGGAAAGACCUUAGCGUUCUGUUCUGUUGACAUAAAACUUAAAAGCACAGGAUCGCUAGUAGCUCAAGGAAAGCACACUAAGUAUGUCGGCUGAUUGACGUCGCUAUACCUACUCAGGAGUGAUGGACAAUGUAUGUAGACAAUGAUCUGUCUAUACGUCUGUGUGUCAGGAUAAUUCCAAAGUGUACCAGCUAAUGUACUUAUAAAUUGGUUACCGGUACAACGUAUUGUAUCAGAAUGUAUUGCGUGUUAUAAUCUCAAUGAAGUAUUCUUUAACUGUUCAAGUGUAUAUGCAUUUGAGAAUAAAAGUUGAUA